rnacentral:rRNA from 1 species
GACGAACGCUGGCGGCGUGCUUAACACAUGCAAGUCGAACGGAAAGGCCCUGCUUUUGUGGGGUGCUCGAGUGGCGAACGGGUGAGUAACACGUGAGUAACCUGCCCUUGACUCUGGGAUAACUUCAGGAAACUGGGGCUAAUACCGGAUAGGAGCUCCUGCUGCAUGGUGGGGGUUGGAAAGUUUCGGCGGUUGGGGAUGGACUCGCGGCUUAUCAGCUUGUUGGUGGGGUAGUGGCUUACCAAGGCUUUGACGGGUAGCCGGCCUGAGAGGGUGACCGGCCACAUUGGGACUGAGAUACGGCCCAGACUCCUACGGGAGGCAGCAGUGGGGAAUAUUGCACAAUGGGCGGAAGCCUGAUGCAGCAACGCCGCGUGCGGGAUGACGGCCUUCGGGUUGUAAACCGCUUUCGCCUGUGACGAAGCGUGAGUGACGGUAAUGGGUAAAGAAGCACCAGCUAACUACGUG